AUCCAGCUGGCGAGUCCCAAAUAGGACGAAAUGCGCAUUAUCCUGGAU
rnacentral:hammerhead_ribozyme from 1 species